UAAGCGGAGGAAAAGAAACUAACAAGGAUUCCCCUAGUAACUGCGAGUGAAGCGGGAAAAGCUCAAAUUUAAAAUCUGGUGGUCUUUGGCCAUCCGAGUUGUAAUCUAGAGAAGCGUCUUCCGCGCUGGACCGUGCACAAGUCUCCUGGAACGGAGCGUCGUAGAGGGUGAGAAUCCCGUCUUUGGCAUGGACACACCAGGGCUUUUGUGAUGCGCUCUCGAAGAGUCGAGUUGUUUGGGAAUGCAGCUCAAAAUGGGUGGUGAACUCCAUCUAAAGCUAAAUAUUGGCGAGAGACCGAUAGCGAACAAGUACCGUGAGGGAAAGAUGAAAAGCACUUUGGAAAGAGAGUGAAACAGUACGUGAAAUUGUUGAAAGGGAAACGCUUGAAGUCAGUCGCGUCGACCGAGACUCAGCCUCGCCUCGGCUUGGUGUACUUCUCGGCCCGACGGGUCAGCAUCAAUUUCGCCUCUUGGAUAAUGGCGAGGGAAACGUGACACCUUUACGGUGUGUUAUAGUCUCUCGUCGCAUGCAAGGGUCGGGAUUGAGGAACUCAGCACGCGCCUUUGGGCGUCGGGGCUUUGCCUACGAUACGUGCUUAGGAUGUUGGCGUAAUGGCUUUAAACGACC
rnacentral:rRNA from 2 species